GGAUGUGGCUCAAGCAGUAGCGCGCUCGCCUGGCAUGCGCAUGGCCCUGGGUUCGAUCCUCAGCACCA
rnacentral:tRNA from 1 species